AAAAAUUCCGUGGGAAGCUGGGGGGACCACCCUCCAAGGCGAAAUACUCGUGACGACCGAUAGUGAACAAGUACCGUGAGGGAAAGGUGAAAAGCACCCCGGAAGGGGGAUGAAAAGACCCUGAAACCGUGCGCCGACAAGCAGUCAGAGCAUUGAGAGAUGUGAUGGCGUGCCUAUUGAAGAAUGAGCCGGCGAGUUACUCCGUGUCGCUGAGGUUAAGACCGUGAAGGGUCGGAGCCGGAGCGAAAGCGAGUCUGAACAGGGCGUCUUGUGGCACGGAGUAGACCCGAAACCGCGUGAGCUACCCAUGGCCAGGGUGAAGGUCCGGUAAUGCGGACUGGAGGCCCGAACCCAUCAAUGGUUCAAAAUUGAGGGAUGAGCUGUGGGUAGGGGUGAAAUGCCAAACGAACGCGGAGAUAGCUGGUUCUCCCCGAAAUGCAUUUAGGUGCAGCCCUAGGGGAAGCGUCGUGGAGGUAGGGCACUGGAUGGGCAAGCGGGCGAGAGCUUAGCGACCCCAACCAAACCACGAAUGCCACGACAGCAUACCUGGGAGUGAGACUGUGGGGGCUAAGCUCCAGAGUCGAGAGGGAAACAACCCGGACCGCCAGCUAAGGCCCCAAAUUCCAGGCUUAGUGUCAAAGGAUGUGAAGUCGCCCAGACAGCCAGGAGGUUGGCUUAGAAGCAGCCACCCUUGAAAGAGUGCGUAACAGCUCACUGGUCGAGUGAUUUCGCGCCGACAAUGUACCGGGGCUCAAGCCUGGAGCCGAAGCUGCGGAUGUACUCUUGUUAGAGAGUAUGUGGUAGGGGAGCGUCGUCAUUGCGGCGAAGUCGUCUGGUGAUGGACGGUGGAGCGAUGACGAGUGCGAAUGCCGGCAUGAGUGGCGUAAGGCAUGUGAGCAAGCAUGCCCACCGAAUGGCCGAGGUUUCCGACGGAAGGUUAAUCCUCGUCGGGUUAGUCGGGCCUAAGCCGAGGCCGAGAGGCGUAGGCGAUGGACACACGGUUGAUAUUCCGUGACCGCUCGUGGACGAUCAAGUCCUCGUCUGGUGCGGGGUAGGGUAGGUCGAGCGCGCCGAUUGGACAUGGUGCGUCUAAGCCCGCAGUGUUGUAUUCCUUCGGGGGUACGAUGUGAGGGGUGGGAAACCUUGAGGUUCCGGCCUUGGGGAAUUCGAUUGAUCCUGGCCUCCGAGAAAAGCCAGCAGAGGGAAGCCGCGAGCGACCGUACCGCAAACCGACACGGGUGGCCGGGUGCGAGAGCACCAAGGUGGACGGGUGAGUCCUCGUUAAGGAACUAGGCAAGUUGACCCCGUAACUUCGGGAGAAGGGGUACCGCAGUAGUGUGAAGCCACUGGCUGGUGGAGCAUGAAGCGGGCGCAGAGAAUAGGCCCAUGCGACUGUUUACCAAAAACACAGCUCCCUGCUAACGCGGAAGCGGACGUAUAGGGGGUGACGCCUGCCCGAUGCCGGAAGGUCAAGGGGAGCGGUGAGAGCUGCGAACCGAAGCCCCGGUCAAUGGCGGCCGUAACUAUAACGGUCCUAAGGUAGCGAAAUUCCUUGUCGGGUAAGUUCCGACCCGCACGAAUGGCGUAACGACAUGGGCGCUGUCUCAACGAGGGGCCCGGCGAAAUUGAACUGGCCGUGAAGAUGCGGCCUACCCGCGACAGGACAAAAAGACCCCGUGGAGCUUUACUGUAGCCUGACGUUGGGUCGGGGCUCGGGAUGCGUGAAA
rnacentral:rRNA from 1 species